GAUGAACGCUGGCGGCGUGCCUAAUACAUGCCAGUCGAGCGAACGGACGAGAAGCUUGCUUUUCUGAUGUUAGCGGCGGACGGGUGAGUAACACGUGGAUAACCUACCUAUAAGACUGGGAUAACUUCGGGAAACCGGAGCUAAUACCGUAUAAUAUUUUGAACCGCAUGGUUCAAAAGUAAAAGACGGUCUUGCUGUCACUUAUAGCUGGAUCCGCGCUGCAUUAGCUAGUUGGUAAGGUAACGGCUUACCAAGGCAACGAUGCAUAGCCGACCUGAGAGGGUGAUCGGCCACACUGGAACUGAGACACGGUCCAGACUCCUACGGGAGGCAGCAGUAGGGAAUCUUCCGCAAUGGGCGAAAGCCUGACGGAGCAACGCCGCGUGAGUGAUGAAGGUCUUCGGAUCGUAAACCUCUGUUAGUAGGGAAGAACAGAUGUGUAAUUAACUGUGCACAUCUUGACGGUACCUAAUCAGAAAGCCACGGCUAACUACGUG
rnacentral:rRNA from 1 species